rnacentral:rRNA from 1 species
UGAGUAACCUGCCCUUAACUCUGGGAUAAGCCUGGGAAGCUGGGUCUAAUACCGGAUAUGACUCCUCAUCGCAUGGUGGGGGGUGGAAAGCUUUAUUGUGGUUUGGAUGGACUCGCGGCCUAUCAGCUUGUUGGUGAGGUAAUGGCUCACCAAGGCGACGACGGGUAGCCGGCCUGAGAGGGUGACCGGCCACACUGGGACUGAGACACGGCCCAGACUCCUACGGGAGGCAG